AAAUAAUUUUCACUCACAGUUUACUUACUAAACUUAACUAAAAUUAAUAAAUCUCAUGAAUUACCUGUAAUUCGAAGAAACUCUUGUCUCAACAUUGUAAGGACUCCUAAAUGUUAAAAUUCCUUAAUACCUUUGGGAAACAGAGAUCGUCGCACAUUGAAUAAGAUCUUACAAUUUACGAUUAAAAAUACGAUAUAAAAAAGGAGAAGCAGAAUAGAGCCGUUACUUUGGUGCUUGUGAUGAAAAUAUACCAUAGUCUAAUAGUAGCAGCAGUCAACAGAUCCUGUGAUUAAGUUUUAGU